rnacentral:tRNA from 1 species
AAAACUUAGUUAAAAUAUAACAUUAAUUUGUCAAAUUAAAAUAACUAAUUUAGUAGUUUUUUA